CUGCAGCUCAAGUGGUGACCACUAUUAUUGGGCCUAAAACGUUCGUAGCCGGUUUGGUAAAUGCCUGGGUAAAUCGUGUAGCUUAACUAUACGAAUUCCGGGUAGACUGCCAAACUUGAGACCGGGAGAAGCUAGAGGUACUCCUGGGGUAGAGGUGAAAUUCUGUAAUCCUGAGGGGACCACCAGUGGCGAAGGCGUCUAGCUAGAACGGGUCUGACGGUGAGGAACGAAGCCCUGGGGCGCAAACCGGAUUAGAUACCCGAGUAGUCC
rnacentral:rRNA from 1 species